GACGUAGGAUGCAAGCGUUGUCCGGAUUUAUUGGGCGUAAAGAGUUCGUAGGUGGUUUGUUAAGUCUGAUGUUAAAGACUGGGGCUCAACCUCGGAAAUGCAUUGGAUACUGGCAGACUUGAGUGUGGUAGAGGCAAUCGGAAUUCCAGGUGUAGCGGUGAAAUGCGUAGAUAUCUGGAAGAACACCGGAGGCGAAGGCGGCUUGCUGGGCGUGAUCUGACGCUGAGGCGCGAAAGCGUGGGGAGCGAACAGG
rnacentral:rRNA from 1 species